rnacentral:rRNA from 1 species
CCUACGGGUGGCAGCAGUGAGGAAUAUUGGUCAAUGGGCGCGAGUCUGAACCAGCCAAGUAGCGUGAAGGAUGACUGCCCUACGGGUUGUAAACUUCUUUUAUACAGGAAUAAAGUGAGGCACGUGUGCCUUUUUGCAUGUACUUUAUGAAUAAGGAUCGGCUAACUCCGUGCCAGCAGCCGCGGUAAUACGGAGGAUCCGAGCGUUAUCCGGAUUUAUUGGGUUUAAAGGGAGCGUAGGCGGGUUGUUAAGUCAGUUGUGAAAGGUUGCGGCUCAACCGUAAAAUUGCAAUUGAUACUGGCGGUCUUGAGUACAGUGGAGGUAGGCGGAAUUCGUGGUGUAGCGGUGAAAUGCUUAGAUAUCACGAAGAACUCCGAUUGCGAAGGCAGCUUACUAAACUGCCACUGACAUUGAUGCUCGAAAGUGUGGGUAUCAAACAGGAUUAGAUACCCUAGUAGUC